ACUCAAAGGAAUUGACGGGGGCCCGCACAAGCGGCGGAGCAUGCGGAUUAAUUCGAUGCAACGCGAAGAACCUUACCAAGGCUUGACAUAACCGAGAACGCCGCAGAAAUGUGGAACUCUUUGGACACUCGGUUACAGGUGGUGCAUGGUUGUCGUCAGCUCGUGUCGUGAGAUGUUGGGUUAAGUCCCGCAACGAGCGCAACCCUCGUCGUAUGUUGCCAGCACGUAAUGGUGGGAACUCAUAUGAGACUGCCGGGGUCAACUCGGAGGAAGGUGGGGAUGACGUCAAAUCAUCAUGCCCCUUAUGUCUUGGGCUUCACGCAUGCUACAAUGGCCGGUACAAAGGGCUGCGAUGUCGUAAGGCGGAGCGAAUCCCAAAAAGCCGGUCUCAGUUCGGAUUGAGGUCUGCAACUCGACCUCAUGAAGUCGGAGUCGCUAGUAAUCGCAGAUCAGCAACGCUGCGGUGAAUACGUUCCCGGGCCUUGUACACACCGCCCGU
rnacentral:rRNA from 1 species